rnacentral:rRNA from 1 species
CACAAGCGGUGGAUGAUGUGGUUUAAUUCGAUGCAACGCGAAAACCUUACCCACCUUUGACAUGUACGGAACCUUUAGAGAUAGAGGGGUGCUCGAAAGAGAGCCGUAACACAGGUGCUGCAUGGCUGUCGUCAGCUCGUGUCGUGAGAUGUUGGGUUAAGUCCCGCAACGAGCGCAACCCUUGUCAUUAGUUGCUACAUUCAGUUGGGCACUCUAAUGAGACUGCCGGUGACAAGCCGGAGGAAGGUGGGGAUGACGUCAAGUCCUCAUGGCCCUUAUAGGUGGGGCUACACACGUCAUACAAUGGCUGGUACAAAGGGUUGCCAACCCGCGAGGGGGAGCCAAUCCCAUAAAGCCAGUCGUAGUCCGGAUCGUAGUCUGCAACUCGACUACGUGAAGUCGGAAUCGCUAGUAAUCGUGGAUCAGAAUGUCACGGUGAAUACGUUCCCGGGUCUU